AGAGCGAACGCUGGCGGCAGGCCUAACACAUGCAAGUCGAACGGAUCCUUCGGGAUUAGUGGCGGACGGGUGAGUAACACGUGGGAAUGUGCCCUUUGGUUCGGAACAACUCAGGGAAACUUGAGCUAAUACCGGAUAAGCCUUUCGAGGGAAAGAUUUAUCGCCAUUGGAGCGGCCCGCGUAGGAUUAGCUAGUUGGUGAGGUAAAAGCUCACCAAGGCGACGAUCCUUAGCUGGUCUGAGAGGAUGAUCAGCCACAUUGGGACUGAGACACGGCCCAAACUCCUACGGAGCAGCAGUGGGAAUCUUGCGCAAUGGGCGAAAGCCUGACGCGAGCCA
rnacentral:rRNA from 1 species